GCCUGGGUGGCUCAGUCGGUUGAGCGUCCGACUUCGGCUCAGGUCACCAUCUCGCGGUCUGUGAGUUCGAGCCCCACGUCGGGCU
rfam:Felis catus isolate Cinnamon breed Abyssinian chromosome B4, whole genome shotgun sequence.